rnacentral:rRNA from 1 species
ACUACGGGAGGCUGCAGUGGGGAAUAUUGCACAAUGGGCGCAAGCCUGAUGCAGCCAUGCCGCGUGUGUGAAGAAGGCCUUCGGGUUGUAAAGCACUUUCAGCGGGGAGGAAGGCGUUAAGGUUAAUAACCUUGGCGAUUGACGUUACCCGCAGAAGAAGCACGGGCUAACUCCGUGCCAGCAGCCGCGGUAAUACGGAGGGUGCAAGCGUUAAUCGGAAUUACUGGGCGUAAAGCGCACGCAGGCGGUCUGUCAAGUCGGAUGUGAGAUCCCCGGGCUCAACCUGGGAACUGCAUUCGAAACUGGCAGGCUAGAGUCUUGUAGAGGGGGGUAGAAUUCCAGGUGUAGCGGUGAAAUGCGUAGAGAUCUGGAGGAAUACCGGUGGCGAAGGCGGCCCCCUGGACAAAGACUGACGCUCAGGUGCGAAAGCGUGGGGAGCAAACAGGAUUAGAUACCCCAGUAGUC